GGCAGCGGGGGAUGUAGCAAUACAUUCUGCCGGCGACCGGCGCAAGGGUGCGUAACGCGUGAGCAACAUGCCCGUCUCAGGGGGAUAACCGGUGGAAACGCCGCCUAAUACCCCAUGGCGAUAUAUUGAGGCAUCUUGAUAUAUCUAAAGCUCCGGCGGAGACGGAUUGGCUCGCGUGACAUUAGCUGGACGGCGGGGUAACGGCCCACCGUGGCUACGAUGUCUAGGGGUUCUGAGAGGAAGGUCCCCCACACUGGAACUGAGACACGGUCCAGACUCCUACGGGAGGCAGCAGUGAGGAAUAUUGGUCAAUGGGCGGGAGCCUGAACCAGCCAUGCCGCGUGAAGGCGAGUGCCCUACGGGCGUUAAACUUCUUUUGUGCGGGAGCAAUAAGGGCCACGCGUGGCCCGAUGAGAGUACCGCACGAAUAAGCAUCGGCUAACUCCGUGCCAGCAGCCGCGGUAAUACGGGGGAUGCGAGCGUUAUCCGGAUUUAUUGGGUUUAAAGGGUGCGUAGGCGGAAUGCCAAGUCAGCGGUAAAAUCGCGGGGCUCAACCUCGCUCCGCCGUUGAAACUGGCGUUCUUGAGUGGGCGAGAAGUAUGCGGAAUGCGUGGUGUAGCGGUGAAAUGCAUAGAUAUCACGCAGAACUCCGAUUGCGAAGGCAGCAUACCGGCGCCCAACUGACGCUGAAGCACGAAAGCGUGGGUAUCGAACAGGAUUAGAUACCCUGGUAGUCCACGCAGUAAACGAUGAAUACUAGCUGUUCGGGGCAAAUGAGCCUUGAGUGGCACAGCGAAAGCGUUA
rnacentral:rRNA from 1 species